AACGGAUUGCGAGUAAGAUGGCCACACGGUGCAAACCGGCGUGCGUCUCCAUCGGAAAGCAUUCGUAAGUCGCUCGCCUCGCGCAUCCAUUCCCAAAUUCAAUUUCAAAGCUUCGACACCGAGCCUUCGACGGCUUCGAGUGUCAUCGCUUUUUGACAACGGAAGUAGUGGUAGAUCGCGGAUUUGAGAAUCUUUAUUGAGAGACUUUCUAUUUUGGAUUGUCACUCGAAAGAAACCGAAUCAGCAAUACCGAUUCGAACAUGAAGAUCGCGCGUGCUCUGCUUGACUAAAUUCAGCUAUGUAGUCAAGCGAGCGAAAGCAUGUGGGGGAUGCCUGGGUACACGGAGGCGAUGAAGGCCGUGGUAAGCUGCGAUAAGCCAGGGGGAGCGGCACACACGCACUGAUCCCUGGAUGG
rnacentral:misc_RNA from 1 species